GACGAACGCUGGCGGCGUGCCUAAUACAUGCAAGUCGAGCGGACUGAAUGGGAGCUUGCUCUUGUUCGGUCAGCGGCGGACGGGUGAGUAACACGUGGGCAACCUGCCCGCAAGACCGGGAUAACUCCGGGAAACCGGAGCUAAUACCGGAUAACACCGAAGACCGCAUGGUCUUUGGUUGAAAGGCGGCGCAAGCUGCCACUUGCGGAUGGGCCCGCGGCGCAUUAGCUAGUUGGUGAGGUAACGGCUCACCAAGGCGACGAUGCGUAGCCGGCCUGAGGGGGUGGCCGGCCACACUGGGACGGAGCCCCGGCCCAGACGCCUACGGAAGGCAGCAGUAGGGAAUCUUCCGCAAUGGGCGAAAGCCUGACGGAGCGACGCCGCGUGAGCGAAGAAGGCCUUCGGGUCGUAAAGCUCUGUUGUGAGGGACGAAGGAGCGCCGUUUGAAGAAGGCGGCGCGGUGACGGUACCUCACGAGGAAGCCCCGGCUAACUACGU
rnacentral:rRNA from 1 species